rnacentral:rRNA from 1 species
GAUGAACGCUGGCGGCGUGCCUAAUACAUGCGAGUCGAGCGAACAGACGAGGAGCUUGCUCCUCUGACGUUAGCGGCGGACGGGUGAGUAACACGUGGAUAACCUACCUAUAAGACUGGGAUAACUUCGGGAAACCGGAGCUAAUACCGGAUAAUAUAUUGAACCGCAUGGUUCAAUAGUGAAAGACGGUUUUGCUGUCACUUAUAGAUGGAUCCGCGCCGCAUUAGCUAGUUGGUAAGGUAACGGCUUACCAAGGCAACGAUGCGUAGCCGACCUGAGAGGGUGAUCGGCCACACUGGAACUGAGACACGGUCCAGACUCCUACGGGAGGCAGCAGUAGGGAAUCUUCCGCAAUGGGCGAAAGCCUGACGGAGCAACGCCGCGUGAGAGAUGAAGGUCUUCGGAUCGUAAAACUCUGUUAUUAGGGAAGAACAAAUGUGUAAGUAACUAUGCACGUCUUGACGGUACCUAAUCAGAAAGCCACGGCUAACUACGUG